GCUUAGGACUGGGGUACCUCACUUGGUAGAGCUGGAGACUCUUAACCGCAGGGUUGUGGGUUCGAGCCCCACGUUGGGCA